rnacentral:rRNA from 1 species
UACGGAGGGUGCAAGCGUUAAUCGGAAUUACUGGGCGUAAAGCGUACGUAGGCGGCUUGUUAAGCAAGAUGUGAAAUCCCCGGGCUCAACCUGGGAAUGGCAUUUUGAACUGGCAAACUAGAGUCUUGUAGAGGGGGGUAGAAUUCCAGGUGUAGCGGUGAAAUGCGUAGAGAUCUGGAGGAAUACCGGUGGCGAAGGCGGCCCCCUGGACAAAGACUGACGCUCAGGCACGAAAGCGUGGGGAGCAAACAGG